rnacentral:rRNA from 1 species
UUUUCUCCUGGAAACGGGUGGUAAUGCCGGAUGCUCCGACUCCUCGCAUGGGGUGUCGGGAAAGAUUUCAUCGGUAUGGGAUGGGGUCGCGUCCUAUCAGGUAGUCGGCGGGGUAACGGCCCACCGAGCCUACGACGGGUAGCCGGCCUGAGAGGGCGACCGGCCACAUUGGGACUGAGAUACGGCCCAGACUCCUACGGGAGGCAGCAGUGGGGAAUAUUGCACAAUGGGCGCAAGCCUGAUGCAGCGACGCCGCGUGCGGGAUGACGGCCUUCGGGUUGUAAACCGCUUUUGAUCGGGAGCAAGCCUUCGGGUGAGUGUACCUUUCGAAUAAGCACCGGCUAACUACGUGCCAGCAGCCGCGGUAAUACGUAGGGUGCAAGCGUUAUCCGGAAUUAUUGGGCGUAAAGGGCUCGUAGGCGGUUCGUCGCGUCCGGUGUGAAAGUCCAUCGCUUAACGGUGGAUCUGCGCCGGGUACGGGCGGGCUGGAGUGCGGUAGGGGAGACUGGAAUUCCCGGUGUAACGGUGGAAUGUGUAGAUAUCGGGAAGAACACCAAA